rnacentral:rRNA from 1 species
UACGGAGGGUGCAAGCGUUGCUCGGAAUCACUGGGCGUAAAGCGAACGCAGGCGGCACGUUAAGUCGGGUGUGAAAGCCCUGGGCUCAACCCAGGAAGUGCAUUCGAAACUGGCGCGCUAGAGUACGGGAGAGGGGAGUGGAAUUCCUGGUGUAGAGGUGAAAUUCGUAGAUAUCAGGAGGAACAUCGGUGGCGAAAGCGGCUCCCUGGUCCGUAACUGACGCUCAUGUUCGAGAGCGUGGGUAGCAAACAGG